AGUGAACGCUGGCGGUAGGCCUAACACAUGCAAGUCGAACGGCAGCACAGUAAGAGCUUGCUCUUACGGGUGGCGAGUGGCGGACGGGUGAGGAAUACAUCGGAAUCUACUUUUUCGUGGGGGAUAACGUAGGGAAACUUACGCUAAUACCGCAUACGACCUACGGGUGAAAGCAGGGGAUCUUCGGACCUUGCGCGAUUGAAUGAGCCGAUGUCGGAUUAGCUAGUUGGCGGGGUAAAGGCCCAAGGCGACGAUCCGUAGCUGGUCUGAGAGGAUGAUCAGCCACACUGGAACUGAGACACGGUCCAGACUCCUACGGGAGGCAGCAGUGGGGAAUAUUGGACAAUGGGCGCAAGCCUGAUCCAGCCAUACCGCGUGGGUGAAGAAGGCCUUCGGGUUGUAAAGCCCUUUUGUUGGGAAAGAAAAGCAGCAGGUUAAUACCCCGCUGUUCUGACGGUACCCAAAGAAUAAGCACCGGCUAACUUCGUG
rnacentral:rRNA from 1 species